CGUAGGGUGCAAGCAUUAUCCGGAGUGACUGGGCGUAAAGAGUUGCGUAGGUGGUUUGUUAAGUGAAUGGUGAAAUCUGGCGGCUCAACCGUACAGACUAUUAUUCAAACUGGCAAACUCGAGAAUGGUAGAGGUAACUGGAAUUUCUAGUGUAGGAGUGAAAUCCGUAGAUAUUAGAAGGAACACCAAUGGCGUAGGCAGGUUACUGGACCAUUUCUGACACUGAGGCACGAAAGCGUGGGGGAGCGAACCGGAUU
rnacentral:rRNA from 1 species